rnacentral:rRNA from 1 species
AGUGAACGCUGGCGGUAGGCCUAACACAUGCAAGUCGAACGGCAGCACAGUAAGAGCUUGCUCUUACGGGUGGCGAGUGGCGGACGGGUGAGGAAUACAUCGGAAUCUACUUUUUCGUGGGGGAUAACGUAGGGAAACUUACGCUAAUACCGCAUACGACCUACGGGUGAAAGCAGGGGAUCUUCGGACCUUGCGCGAUUGAAUGAGCCGAUGUCGGAUUAGCUAGUUGGCGGGGUAAAGGCCCACCAAGGCGACGAUCCGUAGCUGGUCUGAGAGGAUGAUCGGCGACACUGGAACUGAGACACGGUCCAGACUCCUACGGGAGGCAGCAGUGGGGAAUAUUGGACAAUGGGCGCAAGCCUGAUCCAGCCAUACCGCGUGGGUGAAGAAGGCCUUCGGGUUGUAAAGCCCUUUUGUUGGGAAGGAAAAGCAGCAGGUUAAUACCCCGCUGUUCUGACGGUACCCAAAGAAUAAGCACCGGCUAACUUCGUG